GGGGAAUUUUGGACAAUGGGGGCAACCCUGAUCCAGCAAUGCCGCGUGAGUGAAGAAGGCCUUCGGGUUGUAAAGCUCUUUUGUCAGGGAAGAAACACCGGCUCUAACACAGUCCGGGAAUGACGGUACCUGAAGAAUAAGCACCGGCUAACUACGUGCCAGCAGCCGCGGUAAUACGUAGGGUGCAAGCGUUAAUCGGAAUUACUGGGCGUAAAGCGUGCGCAGGCGGUUAUACAAGACAGGCGUGAAAUCCCCGGGCUUAACCUGGGAAUGGCGCCUGUGACUGUAUAGCUAGAGUGUGUCAGAGGGGGGUAGAAUUCCACGUGUAGCAGUGAAAUGCGUAGAUAUGUGGAGGAAUACCAAUGGCGAAGGCAGCCCCCUGGGAUAACACUGACGCUCAUGCACGAAAGCGUGGGGAGCAAACAGAGAUUAGA
rnacentral:rRNA from 1 species